UACAGAGGUCCCGAGCGUUGUUCGGGUUCACUGGGCGUAAAGGGUGCGUAGGUGGCGAGGUAAGUCGGAUGUGAAAGCUCGGAGCUCAACUCCGAAAUGGCAUUGGAAACUACCUUGCUCGAGGGUUGGAGGGGGGACUGGAAUGCUUGGUGUAGCAGUGAAAUGCGUAGAUAUCAAGCGGAACACCAGUGGCGAAGGCGAGUCCCUGGACAACUCCUGACACUGAGGCACGAAAGCUAGGGGAGCAAACAGG
rnacentral:rRNA from 1 species